UACGUAGGGGGCAAGCGUUGUCCGGAAUCAUUGGGCGUAAAGCGCGUGUAGGCGGCCCGGUAAGUCCGCUGUGAAAGUCCAGGGCUCAACCCUGGGAUGCCGGUGGAUACUGUCGGGCUCGAGUCCGGAAGAGGCGAGUGGAAUUCCUGGUGUAGCGGUGAAAUGCGCAGAUAUCAGGAGGAACACCGAUGGCGAAGGCAGCUCGCUGGGACGUGACUGACGCUGAGGCGCGAAAGCGUGGGGAGCAAACAGG
rnacentral:rRNA from 1 species